rnacentral:piRNA from 1 species
UAGGACAAAAACCUUAAUAAUUGUGCCUA